rnacentral:rRNA from 1 species
AACACAUGCAAGUCGAGCGGAUGAAGGGAGCUUGCUCCCUGAUUCAGCGGCGGACGGGUGAGUAAUGCCUAGGAAUCUGCCUGGUAGUGGGGGACAACGUCUCGAAAGGGACGCUAAUACCGCAUACGUCCUACGGGAGAAAGCAGGGGACCUUCGGGCCUUGCGCUAUCAGAUGAGCCUAGGUCGGAUUAGCUAGUUGGUGAGGUAAUGGCUCACCAAGGCGACGAUCCGUAACUGGUCUGAGAGGAUGAUCAGUCACACUGGAACUGAGACACGGUCCAGACUCCUACGGGAGGCAGCAGUGGGGAAUAUU